rnacentral:lncRNA from 1 species
ACAACCUUUGCUCGAAGAUACCACACUUCAAGACUUCAACCGAAGGAAUGAAAACGUUCCUUCUUACAACCACAAGGGAUUAACACUUCCCUUCAAGUGAAUACAAACACUUAGCACUCAAGACAAGACUCUCUUUAAGAGUAGAUAUGAGUAAAAUAAAUACGCUCAAGAACACAACAACUUUUAUCAAGAGUUUGGCUCUC